UGAAUUACAAGCAAAUGAAUGACUAGUAACGUAGAAAGACACAACUGGGUCAGGUGGGUGCCUGUGUAUAUGGUGACUUUUACUGAGCAGCCUCUGCAGGUCAGCAUCUUGGUCGGGGAGGAGGAGGAUAAUAUGUAUUUCCCUAAUUUUGUAUUUUAACUUUCCCUGUCAAAAGCUUAUGCUUGAGAAGUUGUUUCCAAAUUGAAACUGAAUUUAUAAGCUGUAGGAUUUUACAGCAUACAGUGACACUGAGAAGACUUAAGGAACUAACACUUCAGAAUCUGAAAAUGCAAAGAUUAGUAAAAUGGUCACAAUCGAAGUAUGUUGAUGACUCAGUCACUCGCUCGACUUCCUAAACGUAUUCCCUCAUCCAUCUUUGCUAACUGGAGUCCCUCUUCCCCUCAUCAACUUGCUGCUUCCUACCUCAAAAGCAUGACAUUUAUUUUUUCUCCUCGUGAAGGGUGAUCCAAGAACACAGAAUGCUCCAGAAGUUCCAGUUUGCCAUCAACUCACCAUCUGGGAUUAUAAACUCAAAAGAGAAAAAUAUCCAAGGGCAAUGGCAACUUUAUGGUGUGAAAAGAGACCUGAAGACACAGGCUCUUUGGAGAUGCAGGAAAGAGAAGCCGUUAGAUCAUCAAGAAGUGAGCUGAGACAACUUCAAGUUCAGCACCUACGGGAGUUGGAACCAAGGGAGAAGUGUCUCUUCGAAAAGUCAAAAACAGUGAGGGAGACCAAGAUGCAUAGAGCAAGAGAUGGGAUGAAACAUAUGCUGGUUUCUCAUGAAAGUUACAAAACUCUAUUGGGGUGUGUGUGUGUGUGUGUGUGUGUGUGUGUGUGUGUGUGUGUUUUGGGGGCAAUGCUGGUAAUGGGGAGCUCACAGUGUUAAAUAUAUAGCAAAGAUAGAAAAAUGAUGACUUGGGACAAGCUAUUGAAAUAAUAACUUGAUGUCUAGCAGAUCAGGAUGCUUUUGAAUAAUCUGAUGUGGGGAAACAAAACAGCCAGUAAAUUGUGAAGGAGUAAAGGUAAAAGUUAAGCUAGUCUAUAUGCAUUACUAUUUAUUCACUCAUUUACUGUUUUCAUUCAUUUAUUUGACACAUACUUGUUGAGCAUCUACUGGGGCUGGGCAUCUUUUAGAAAAUGGGAACACCAAUGAAUCAGACACUGCCCUACCCUCAUGGAUCUUAUAAAAGCUAUUCUUUGACAAGAUGAGACUUUUCUUCUUCAAUUCUGGUAAAUUCAGUGGACCAUAUAAUUCAUUUCAAACUGUUUUCAUGUAGGAGAGAUUUGUGUAUGAUUGAGAGCAAGGAAAAGAGGCUUAGAAGGGGAAUUCAAACAUUGAAGACACAAAAGAAAAAAUAAAUAAUAAAAUACUGUGAUCUCUUUGAAAUUGAGAAUUAGAUGAAAUGAAAGAAAUAUAAAAAGGUAGUUUGGCCCUGUGGGGAAGAUGAGCUGUUCUUCCUCUGACACAGAAAAGAAGGAAGAAAGAACAUGCUGGAAGCAGAGCAAAGAAGAGGUAAGACACUGUAGUUAUUUUAAAUAUCCACCUGUUGAUAUACACAGGCUUAGAUACAUUACUGAAAGUAUAAGCCAUUUUUAAAGAUAAACAGUGCUCGCAUAUGUAUAUGUUACAUCCAAAGCCCAUAGUGUCUAAA
rnacentral:lncRNA from 1 species